UACGUAGGGGGCAAGCGUUGUCCGGAUUUAUUGGGCGUAAAGAGCGUGUAGGCGGCCGUACAGGUCAGCUGUGAAAACUCGAGGCUCAACCUCGAGACGUCGGUUGAAACCGUACGGCUAGAGUCCGGAAGAGGAGAGUGGAAUUCCCGGUGUAGCGGUGAAAUGCGCAGAUAUCGGGAAGAACACCCGUGGCGAAGGCGGCUCUCUGGGACGGUACUGGACGCUCAGCACGAAAGCGUGGGGAGCAAACAGG
rnacentral:rRNA from 1 species